ensembl:snRNA RNU6-743P RNA, U6 small nuclear 743, pseudogene
GUCCUCACUUCGGCAGUACAUAUACUAAAAUUGGAACGAUACAGAGAGGAUUAGCAUGGCCCUGCACAAGGAUGAUAUGCCAAUUCAUGAAGCAUUAUAAAAUAAU